rnacentral:rRNA from 1 species
UGGCUUUACCGUUGCGAGUCGAGCGGGUGGCAAUGCGAGGGGCAGACGGGUGAGUAACGCGUGGGAAUCUACGCUUUUCUACGGAAUAACGCAGGGAAACUUGUGCUAAUACCGUAUGUGUCCUUCGGGAGAAAGAUUUAUCGGGAAAGGAUGAGCCCGCGUUGGAUUAGCUAGUUGGUGGGGUAAAGGCCUACCAAGGCGACGAUCCAUAGCUGGUCUGAGAGGAUGAUCAGCCACAUUGGGACUGAGACACGGCCCAAACUCCUACGGGAGGCAGCAGUGGGGAAUAUUGGACAAUGGGCGCAAGCCUGAUCCAGCCAUGCCGCGUGAGUGAUGAAGGCCCUAGGGUUGUAAAGCUCUUUCACCGGAGAAGAUAAUGACGGUAUCCGGAGAAGAAGCCCCGGCUAACUUCGUGCCAGCAGCCGCGGUAAUACGAAGGGGGCUAGCGUUGUUCGGAAUUACUGGGCGUAAAGCGCACGUAGGCGGACAUUUAAGUCAGGGGUGAAAUCCCGGGGCUCAACCCCGGAACUGCCUUUGAUACUGGGUGUCUUGAGUGUGGAAGAGGUCAGUGGAAUUGCGAGUGUCGAGGUGAAAUUCGUAGAUAUUCGCAGGAACCCAGUGGCGACGGCGGCNGAUUGGUCUAUUACCGUGCCCAGGUGCUC